GAAAGUUAAUUUGAGUUAAUGUUAGAUUGCUAGCUGAUGGGGUAACAAGGUUGGUGUGUUUUAUUGCUUUUCUGUGAUCUGUGCUGGGUGGAUUGCUUGUGAAUUGGGAUGAUGUAGAGAUUUUUUCGUUAGUUACAAUUUUUUAACUGAAAAAUGAAGAUUUGUUUGAAAAUAUGAUUGAUUGUUAGUGUUGUUAUCCUUUAGUUAUUUUUAUUGACUGUAAGCAUUUUUCUCAUUCUCCAUAUAUCAAUUCACUUCAUCUCUGCAGAUGUAAUGGAAGUAUCUGUGUUGCCUUCGAUUUAAUCCACGUUUUUUUUUCUUGAUGUGCAUAUCUGUGUUACGACUAGUACAUUAGCAGGGCUUGAGCAGAUUCUACCUUGGAUGUUGUACCAUAAAGUAAUUGGUGUGACAAGUUUUUUCCUUUUUGUGGAGGGGAAGGCAGCUUCUCCUGAAGUAUCAAAUGUCCUAGAAUCAAUUCCUCCGUAUUUGGAACGAGACAUGGCUGACAGGUUUCUUUUAUAAACCAUGCAAUUAUGAACUUUUUGUGAAGCAAUCCCUCAACAUGGAGAUGGCUAUUGUUAUGGCAAGGGAUUCUAGCAUGGACUGGAUUCUUCAUCUUAAUACAGAUGAAUUAAUACACCCAGCUGGUGCUCGGGAAUAUUCUUUAAGGCAGUUGCUUUGAUGUUCCAGGACAUGUUG